rnacentral:lncRNA from 1 species
AUGUCCUUUCUCUGUCCUCCUGGCCAGCAACUGUGUGGAAGUAAAGACACUGGAGAGGAGGGGUCUGGGCUAGGAAGGGCAUACCCUAACCCCCAUGUAUUGGCUUCUUUCUCAGUUCAGGGGCUGGAAUGCUACCAGUGUUUUGAUGUCCCACUCGAGACUUCCUGCAAUACAACUACCUGCCUGAAUGGAUGACUCUCAGAGAAAAAAAGCAAAGAACAGUUAUUGCUUUUCCAUCUGCCCUACUAAUAAAUAUUUCACGAUCCUGGAUGCUACUGUCA